ACCGCAGCGCAGCCGGCACCCAGCCGCCUCUCCCUUUCCUCCGCACACGGGCAGCCGCGGUCCACCGUAGGGCAGUCGUCGUUGGCAUCGCGCGCAAGUGAACCGGAGCAAACGACUUCCGAUCCAGUCUGCGCUGUUGCAGCUCCCGUUUGGGAUUUGAUUUGCAGCAUCUUUGAGCCUCUACGACAAAAAAACCGCGAAGCACGCCCAGCCCUCCCCCGGCACCCCGAAAAGCACCCACUCCCUCCCGGGGACACAGCUGGGCGCGUCCACACCCCCGCAGCCCCACACCAUGUUGUGCGGAAGGACUUCCACUCCCCGCCUGUGUCGUUGAUGUCAGACCCCAGGCCAGCCUCCGGGCGCUGCAGUUCUCCCGGCUAAUGCUGAGGCUGCGGCUCCGGCUCUAGCACAGGCACCAGCCGCCGCCGCACCCGGCCUCAGCGCCCACCGUCUGCAUGUGCCCGCCGUAGCCGUCUGCCCAGCCC
rnacentral:lncRNA from 10 species